rnacentral:misc_RNA from 1 species
CUGUUUUUUAAUGUAAGCAUUGUGUUUCAGAAGAAAAACAGAAUAAUCAUAUCACUAGAAAAGUAAUCUUGAGUACAAAUACAUCGAGUUCGAUGCUAAUCAAGUCAUUUCCUCCCUACAUAACAUCCCAUUGGAGGUAGUUUCCUAUGAAUCAAAACCCAAUUACAACCAAGCGUGUUUAUUUUACAGUUUUUCUCCAGCCACCCAGCAGAUAUACAAGAAAAUCUAAAAGACGACACCUGCAAUGAAGCCCUCAUAAUUGGUAUGCUAGCUCUCCUUCAGAAUCCAAAGUUCUUCUCAAAGGGUUGUUCCUGUACCAGACAUGCACAUACUCAUGCCAAAAUAAAAAUAUGACGAUGAAAGGCACUGAAUACCACAAGCAUGGCAGGGAUAGCUUUUCUAUUUAGUGCCUCCAGUUGGCAUGUUUUACCAUGCCUUGCACUCGAAUGGAGAGAUCUCUCUCACUGCCGAAUGGGAACUAUGCCAAUGGAAAAUCAUUAGAGGUUCAACCAUAUCCACAAUGUUACUGCUGAUUCAAGCCAGAUAUUUCCUGAGCAACAGGAUUUGAUGUUUCCUGAACUGCCCGUGUCUUGACCUGAUAAACCUACCGCAUCUGCUUCUCACUUGCACCCUUUUCUUGUCUAAAGUUAGUCUCAGCAUCUCCUGCUGGCCUAAAAAUCCACUUGGUAGGAGGUGAUGGAAGUGGACCUAUGUUCUGCUCAACCUGGUGGUGCAUAUUUGAAUUACUCCCUGUAUUUGGCACGCGCUGCAAUAUUACUACAGGCGGUCUGCUUCUGACAUUUUCUUCUACAGUCAAAGCAGAUAUCCCACUCUUUAUAUCAUGGUACUGUUCAGGGUAUUGUACUCUGUCCUGAGUCUUAAAGUUGUGCCGAUUGCCUGGCAUGCCAUUUGAUAUUGGAGAAAAUCUAGGAUUGCUCAUUAGGCCUUGUUGGUUACCGUAAUGCCCAUAAUAAUAGUUUGGGUCAUAAUUGUAGCUCCUUUCAUUUCCAGAGGGUCCAGCUGGUCUAGGUCUGUUGAACAUAGGAUUCCCUGGGAUAUUGCGAUAUGGCGGUUGCUCAAAAUAUCUCGAAGAUGACCCAUUUGGUCUGAUAUUAAGCGUGUUCUUGACAAGCCGGUGAGCUGCUUCACCCAACAGAGGGCCAGCUAUUCCUCUAGGUACUUGUGGCCUUUCUCUGCCUUGCUGGCGUCGACCAUUAUCUUCAUGCCAUAAUGUGGGGAAUGGUUUAAUAUCUAUAGGUUUUAAGAUCUUUUCAGGCAUGACCACACCAGUGGGAGGUUCAGGUACGUGUCUAUGAUUUAUAGGAUUAAGAUAUGUAAUAUUUAAAACUUGGUUGGGCUCUAUGUCUGGCAACCCACUGACAGGUGAAGGGACCAUACUUCUCCAGACAUUCCUCUCAGUUAACCAAAGAUAGCCAUUCAUGCCAGCACUGGCAUUUGUGUCAAUUUCCCAACAACACCUUUGCAAUGGAAGUAACAAACGGGUAACUUCAUGGUAUGAGAAGAUUUCUGCUGCCAAAGGAUGAGCAGGAUGAACAUACAGCAAAUCUAGCAUUUUACUAUUACGGAACCGUUCUUUGUCCUGCAACUUACCAAAACAAAAUUUUAGUGCUAUCGGGAACUAUGACAACUAGGUUUUGCUGCACCUGAUGGCCACAACAUAUCAUAAUGAAAUGGUUGCCAUCAUCUUGGAAUUCCAUGCUGCUUACAAAUCAACAUUGAACCAAAAACUAUAGGCAAAAGGGAUACUCCUACAUCGCUAC